rnacentral:misc_RNA from 1 species
GUGAAUCAUCAAAUCUUUGAACGCAAAUUGCACUCUCUGGUAUUCCGGAGAGUAUGCCUGUUUGAGGGUCAGUUUAAAUAAAAAUCGGUGUGGUUGCUGCAUUUAGUGGUGACGCACCGGAUUUGGGUCGUCUUGCCUUCGGUUAAGCGACCUAGGAUUUUGCUUGUUUUUUUCGAACGGAUUUAAAUGGAU